rnacentral:rRNA from 1 species
UAAUACGGAGGGUGCGAGCGUUGUUCGGAAUUAUUGGGCGUAAAGCGCGUGUAGGCGGCUUGGUAAGUCGGGUGUGAAAGCCCGGGGCUCAACCCCGGAAUUGCAUUCGAUACUGCCUCGCUAGAGUCCCGGAGAGGAGAGCGGAAUUCCCGGUGUAGAGGUGAAAUUCGUAGAUAUCGGGAGGAACACCAGCGGCGAAGGCGGCUCUCUGGACGGUGACUGACGCUGAGACGCGAAAGCGUGGGGAGCAAACAGGAUUAGAUACCCUGGUAGUCCACGCCGUAAACGUUGGGUGCUAGGUGUCGCGGGUAUUGACCCCUGCGGUGCCGUCGCUAACGCAUUUAGCACCCCGCCUGGGGAGUACGGUCGCAAGGCUA